UACGAAGGGGGCUAGCGUUGUUCGGAAUUACUGGGCGUAAAGGGCGCGCAGGCGGUCGCUCAAGUCAGGCGUGAAAGCCCGGGCUCAACCCCGGGUCGGCCGUGCCGACUGCGAGACUAGAGUGCUGUAGGGCAGGCGGAAUUCCGGGUGUAGCGGUGGAAUGCGUAGAGAUCCGGAGGAAGACCGGUGGCGAAGGCGGCCUGCUGGGCAGAUACUGACACUGAGGAGCGAAAGCAUGGGGAGCGAACAGG
rnacentral:rRNA from 1 species